rnacentral:rRNA from 1 species
UACGUAGGGCGCAAGCGUUGUCCGGAAUUAUUGGGCGUAAAGAGCUCGUAGGCGGCUUGUCACGUCUGCUGUGAAAUCCCGGGGCUCAACCCCGGGCGUGCAGUGGAUACGGGCUGGCUAGAGGCAGGCAGGGGAGAACGGAAUUCCCGGUGUAGCGGUGAAAUGCGCAGAUAUCAGGAGGAACACCCGUAGCGAAGGCGGCACUCUGGGCCGAUACUGACACUGAGGAGCGAAAGCGUGGGGAGCGAACAGG